rnacentral:rRNA from 1 species
AGCAUAUCAAUAAGCGGAGGAAAAGAAACCAACAGGGAUUGCCCCAGUAACGGCGAGUGAAGCGGCAACAGCUCAAAUUUGAAAUCUGGCCCUAGGCCCGAGUUGUAAUUUGCAGAGGAUGCUUUUGGCGCGGUGCCUUCCGAGUUCCCUGGAACGGGACGCCAUAGAGGGUGAGAGCCCCGUACGGUUGGACACCAAGUCUUUGUAAAGCUCCUUCGACGAGUCGAGUAGUUUGGGAAUGCUGCUCAAAAUGGGAGGUAUAUUUCUUCUAAAGCUAAAUAUUGGCCAGAGACCGAUAGCGCACAAGUAGAGUGAUCGAAAGAUGAAAAGCACUUUGAAAAGAGGGUUAAACAGCACGUGAAAUUGUUAAAAGGGAAGCGCUUGUGACCAGACUUGCGUCCGGUGAAUCACCCAGCUCUCGCGGCUGGGGCAUUUUGCCGGCUCAGGCCAGCAUCAGCUUGCCGUCGGGGACAAAAGCUUCGGGAACGUAGCUCUCUUCGGGGAGUGUUAUAGCCCGUUGCAUAAUACCCUUCGGUGGGCUGAGGUACGCGCUCCGCAAGGAUGCUGGCGUAAUGGUCAUCAGCGACCCGUCUUGAAACACGGACCAAGGAGUCAACCUUAUGUGCGAGUGUUUGGGUGUUAAACCCCUACGCGUAAUGAAAGUGAACGCAGGUGAGAGCUUCGGCGCAUCAUCGACCGAUCCUGAUGUUCUCGGAUGGAUUUGAGUAAGAGCAUAUAGGGUUGGACCCGAAAGAAGGUGAACUAUGCGUGUAUAGGGUGAAGCCAGAGGAAACUCUGGUGGAGGCUCGCAGCGGUUCUGACGUGCAAAUCGAUCGUCAAAUAUGCGCAUGGGGGCGAAAGACUAAUCGAACCUUCUAGUAGCUGGUUUCCGC